rnacentral:rRNA from 1 species
AAACCGGAGGAAGGUGGGGAUGACGUCAAGUCAUCACUGGCCCUUACGGCCUGGGCUACACACGUGCUACAAUGGUCGGUACAAAGGGUUGCCAAGCCGCGAGGUGGAGCUAAUCCCAUAAAACCGAUCGUAGUCCGGAUCGCAGUCUGCAACUCGACUGCGUGAAGUCGGAAUCGCUAGUAAUCGUGAAUCAGAAUGUCACGGUGAAUACGUUCCCGGGCCUU